rnacentral:lncRNA from 1 species
UUUUUUUUUUUCCUUGAGCAGCUUGGCUAGCGCUAGCUGGGACAUACGCUAUAGUGUACGUGCUUGU